AGAAAUUCUUAUAAUGCUUCACAUCCAUUAGGAGGGCUUUAACUGCGGGGUCUGUCUUCAUGGCUGCCAUCCAGAGCUUGAGUUUUGGAGUUGCAGCUGCCCACCUGUGGGAGGAAGAAACAAAGAGGACAUGGUGGCACACGCCUGCAAUCCCAGCUCUCGAGGGGAGGCUGAGGCAGGAGGAUCACCAUGAGUCUGAAGCCAGCCUAGGCUACAGUGAGUCCAAGGCCAUGCUGAACUACAUAGUGAAACUCUGUCUCAAAAAAAAAAAAAUAAUAAUAAUCAUAAAAUUUUCUUUAAAAGCAUCUUUAAAAUGUAUAUAACCAUAUAUAUUGGAUUUGAAAGGUAUCAAAGAUCUUUGUUUUACAUGUGGUGAAUCUGAAAUGAAUGUGAAAUGACUUGCUCAGUAAGUGUGAAAACUUGUCCAAGCUGACAAACUCAUAACUUUUUAAAGAGAACUUAAAAAAUCCAAAAAAUAUUACUCAAUCUGUCACCAGGUUAGAUCUAAAAAUAACCCUGAAUAGCCCUAACCUGUAAAAAAAAAAAAAGGGAGUAAAUCAAGGGAGCUGGCUGCCAAACCCAAAACAGCAUCCAGAAAAUGAAAUCUUGCUAAGCGGAAGGUAACCCUAGUCAUAGCCUCCUGCAACAGCAUCCUCAUGAAGAUGUGCAUCCUUGUGCAAUAGAAACCCCCACCCCUUCCCACAGAAGCUGGAGUAGUGAAUGUAGGUCUGUGACCCAGGACACUCCUGCUUGUUCUCGUUCAGGUGUAUUAGGUAUUUUAACUUUGGUUCAGAAAAAAUGUUCAACAGAAUAUUUUUGCAACUAUCAUCCUACAAACACAAAAUACUCAAAUGCCUUACUCAGUUAGCUCCUGUAAUUCCAUCCGUUCAAACCAGGGCCAGAUGAGGUAAUCAACCAGACCAAUAGAAUUGCCACCAAAGAAGGUCGUCUUCUUCUUAGUCAGAACCUGAACAUCAAACACAAUAACAGUACCCAGUAAGUGCCCGGUAAGAAUCACCACCAGAAAGAUGAAGACAAGUUUAGUAGAGCAGGUUUAUCCCAACAUCCCAGAUGAGCUUUUUUCUGUCUGAUCAGAAAAUUCAAGGAGGCAGGAGGUAUAGCUCAGCGAGCACAGGACUUGCCUAGGGUCCUCACGGCCCUGGGUUCAAUCUGUAUUCAGACUAUAAAAAGAACUGGCAAAUCAAUAAAAAUAGCAAACAACUCAUCAGAUAAAAUGAACAAUACUUGUUCUUCACAAGAGAGGAUGCCCAAGUGGCCAAUAGUUUUUUUUUUUUUCUCAAUAAUUGUUUUAAAACGUGUUCAACUGUAUUAACCACCAGGAAAUGCAAAUUUAAGCCAAAGUGCUAUCCAACAGAAUGGUUGAAGUGAACAAGACAAAGUUAGGAAGGGUGUGCAAUGGCUGCAGGUAGAAAUGUAAAUUGCUACAACUGUGUUUUAACCGUAAACAUAUCUUUUAUCCAGAAAUUCUGCUUGGUAACAUAGGCCGCCAAGAAGUAUUACAGAAACGUGCAUGUUUGUAAUAGCACAAAGGUAAAAAUGUUUGCCCUUUAAUAUCUGUAGCUUUUCAGCUAACAUUAUGUAGAUUAGCUGUCAUAUCUACCUGUCUUCUGCCUACUGUUAAGCUCUCAUUGUCUAAAGAAUAGAUGUGCUUCUACAUGGUCAAGCAAAAAAGGAUAAAUUUCCAAAACAUUCAAAAGAAGAAAUGUAAAACCCCCAAAUCAAUCACCAUGAAAGAAAUUGAAAUGGUAAUGAAAAAUCUACUCUUGCAAGAGACACCAAGCUCAGAUGCUUUAGGGAAAUAGCCCAUCCUUCUCAAAUGGUUUCAGACAUUAGGAAAAUAAGGGAAGUUACCCAACUUACUUUAAGAAGUUAGAAUUGAUACCAAACCAAUAAACAAUAACUACAGAACAAUAAAGUUGGACCAAUUCCACUUCUGAACACAUAUGCACAAAUUGUUUUUACUGUCAACUGGUUCUAGUACAUAUAUGAAAGCCCACUGAAAACAAGUAGGUCUUAUCCGAGUAAUACACCAGAGAGUUCAACACCAGAAGAAUCUGUCGUACUGUCAUAGUGACCAGAUAAAUGGGGAAAAAACCUGCAACCGUUUCAGUGGACAUAAUACCCAAAACAUUCAAUAUUAAUUCAUGAUUUUGAAAAAGUAAAGUAAUAACAGAAACUUAGUAGAAAAAAGCGGGGGGGGGGGAUGUUCAGGAAAAGCCUGCAGUAAACUUGGUGCUUAUAAAAUGUCAGGAUCCAUUCCGUAAAAAUCAGCAACUGGGUCUUCCCUCAGGAAAGCUUCAGGCUGAGUGCAGAUGGAACAGCUCAGGGCCAAGAGAAAGGCUCUGACUCGGGCCUCAAAUGACAGCUGUCCCCAAAAAGAACACGCUGGGCCUGCUCAAAGCUCUGUGAUGUGUGGCAAACUUUCUGUGCUGGAAAAUAUAAUAUUAACUGGGAAAAAGAACACAGAAGAACACACAUGCGAUGAUUCCAGUUUUUCCUUUAAAGACAGGGAGUGAUGAAGAUGAAACAAGGUUAGAAGAGAUGGAAGUAAGUGACAAAUUAUGGAAAUGUGGGUAAUACAUUUCUUUUUCCCUUGUCAUUUUAAUAUCAGUGCAACCAAAUAUUUAAAAAUAAGCCAUAACACAGUUAUGGUACCAAGCACCCAUUUUUUGGUGCUAAAUUUUGGUGUUUUGGUUUAUAUUGAAAGCAGAACAACUUAUAGCAAUCUGUUAGAUUUUUUUUCCUUUGCAAUACUGAGGACUGAACCCAAGGGCGUUCACACUGAGCUAUAUCACCAGUCUUUUAUUUUUGGUUGGAGACAGGGUCUCACUAAGUGGCCAGAUCACCCAAGCUGGGCUUAAUCUUGAGACCCUCCACCUUGGCUCAUCAGAGGAUUGCAGUUACAAGUGUGAAGUACUACAUCCAGCAGAAAUUCAUUUUUAUCAGGUAUUAUUCCUAAUUACCAUAAAAGUAACUUGAGAAAUGGGAGAAUGAAAAACAACUGAAAGGAAAAGAAGGGCAAACACAGGGUGGAUUAUAAUACUAUAAAAGCUGGGAGAAAUGAUUACCUCAUCUAACACUUUCAGUUCUUUCUUUAAUUCUUCUUUUGCACCAGAGCAGUCUUCUUUAGCUUGCUGUAGUCUAAAAAUGCUCGUUGUCAAAGACGACACCUGCACAAAAUUUUAGCUCAUCACUGUGGGGCCCACUGCCUUGGCUUCCUCAGCUCAGAACCCACACGGGCAGGGGCACCAAGUCCCUGUGUCCCACAAGGGCUUAUAUUACAAACUGUCCUGUAGACAAAGAUGUGUUGGUUAGGAUUUCAUAAGUUACAAAGAAUAAGUCCCACUUUAGUGAAUCUGAGUACACACUUCUCCUUAAAAGACAGAGUGGGCUGGGAAUGUAGCUCAGAGAUACUGCGCCUUCCCGGCAAGUAUGGGGUCCCGAGUUUGAUUUCCAGUACCAAAAAACAAUAGUGGCUCUCAGAAUUGUUGGAAGACUGAACCAACCUGCUGGAACUCAGAACGCUGCAAAACCAGGUCAGAAGUGGCCUAAUGCGACCUGCCCAUUGCUCCAGUACAGCGGGCACUCGUCCCAGUUUGUCAUUUUGUAGGAAGCAGAUGCUGGCAACUGCUAGCAACACCAGUCAUGCCGCUGCUGCUGCUCUGGGAUUCAGUCUCACAGCUGCCAAUGCACCUGCCACCACACUUAACAACAGCACCAGUGACACACACAGCUCACAUCUUGGCCAAUGCUACCACCUGUGCGCCUGAUAGGCAGAGCUUUGACCCCAGGUCUGGCCCCAGAUUUGGAAAAGGAGCAGAGCGAGAGAAUUUCUCUGAGGUCUACUUUGGGAGGAACACACAGAUGACUCCAAGGGGCUGGAGACCUGAGAGAUACUUCCGUGUUUGUGGCAGAGGCAUCUGUGUUUAACAGAAGCCUUCGAGAUGACCUCACUGUCAGGAGUCCAUUCAUCCCAACUUCCAUAAACAUGAACCUGAGAAAGUCAUGAAACCCCAUCACGGUCCUCAUAGAAGCUGAAGAGCCGGCGGGCAGCCCUUCUGCCGACAGUUCCAUUCUGACUGCCUAGUCCUCCAUCCCUGCUUUUCCUUAGGUACAAGCAGCGGUGGUCAAAAAAAUUCACUCUUAAAAAUGGGUAAGUGUGUUCAAAGCGAGGGAGAAUAUUCUGGGAGCCUGAGGGAUUAAUGGCGAUGUCUUUUACUGUAAUCCAUGUUAUAAAAUGUCAAAUGAACACUGUAUUUUUAUCAUACCCUGUAUCUGCACCAUAAUAUUUUCUAUAUAUCAGUUCCCUUUCCAGUGUUCUUAAUUUCUGCUUCCCCUAAAAAUGUAUUUUUAAUGUGGCUCGGACAUUUCAGUCUCCAAUAAUUACAUAUAUCUUCAAAGCA